rnacentral:lncRNA from 1 species
GAGAAGUACUUGUUGGAUUGUUUGAAAAAGUUAUUCGCCUCUUUGAAAAAAAAAUUAUUACUAGUUGGAGAGAUAGCUCAGUGCUUAAGAGUACUUGCUGCUCUUGCAGAAGACCUGGGUUCAGUUACCCCCCCCCCCCAAAAAAAACAAACAAACCAAAAACCCUACAUGGUAACUCACAAACAUCUAUGAGCAGUUCCAGGGACCCAGUACCUUUUUCUGGCCGUCUUCACAGGCACGAAGAAUACACACAGUGCCCAGACAUACAUGUAGGAAAAACAUCUCCAGACAAGUAAAAAAGUAAAAAACAAAGAAAAAGAUAAUUUUAGCUGGGCAGCGGUGGUGUGAGUUCGAGGCCAGCCUCAUCUACAGAGCAAGUUCUAGGAUAGCCAGGGCUACAUAGAGAAACCUAGUCUCAGAAACAAAAAAACAAAAAAGAGAAAAUGUUAUUACACUCAUCUAUAUGUGUGUGUGUGCACACAUGCAUAAGCGCAUGCCACAGCAGAGAUGUCAAGCUCUGAGCCCGUUUGUGUUUUGGAACCGAGUUUUAAGGUAUGUUUAUGCCUGUGCGAGUGCACCACUGCCAGCACACCUGGCCUUGAAAUGGACUUUUAAAAAAAGAUUUAUUUUUAUUUGUGUGUGUCUGCGAUUCUGGGAUGCCAGAAGACACAUCAGGUCUUGGAGCUGGACUUACAGGCAUUCGUGAGCUACCUGACGUGGAUGUUGGUCCUCACGAUGGGACAUCAACGCCAUGAACCACUGGACGGUCUGCCUCUCAUGCACCCAGAUGUCUUAUUUUUGAGAAGUGAAUUCAUUUCCAUGGUUUAAAAUACUUAGUUGUUUAUAGGAGGUUUUCUUUUUAAGUUAAAAAUAUUUAUUUUAUUUUAAAAUUGUGUGUCUGCAUGUGGGUAUGUGCCUUGAGUGCAGGUGUCUGAGGAGGCCGGAGCAAGGCAGGAGCUCCUCUGGGGCUGCUCAGUCUGGGCGUGGCCUCCAGAGCAGUGCUUUCAGCACCCACUCUCUCUCCCCAGCUCUUGGGUUUCUACUGAGACAGCUUCCUGUCUUCAACUACUCACCGCGUGUACUCACUGGGCUCAACUCUGUAAUUACAAAUACUUCCGGAAGUAUACCUCUUGGUUUAUCACUCAUGCUUUUUUAUAUUAUUAUUACUCUCUCCUGACCCUCGAUGUAGUCAUCUGUGCAUUUCUUUAACAAAUGUGCAUUAGCCACUGGUUACAUGCCAGAUGCUGUCCAGGGCCUGGGAAGACAUUGAUGAGCAAAAUAGGCAGGAUCCAGCCUUGCAGCGUGCAGAGCCUGGGCGAGGGACACUGAGAGCAAACAAGCCUGGGGUGCUGCAGAGAUUGAGACAGGAUAAGGGACAGCGGAGAGAUAAGCAGCGACUGUCACCUCAGGUUGGUUGUCAGGGCAGACUAAGCUAAGGAUGUGACAUUUGGUGGCAACCAGAUGUGAGAAAGAAAGGUUCUAUAGGCACUCGGUUUGUUUGUGUUGCUGUGACAGAAUUCUUGAUGGCUUAGGGCUGUGGCCCUGUGGUACAGCACUUGCCUAGCAGACAGCAAGACAUACCCUGGCUUUGAUCCCCCACACCACC